rnacentral:rRNA from 1 species
CCUACGGGAGUCAGCAGUGAGGAAUAUUGGUCAAUGGGCGCAAGCCUGAACCAGCCAAGUAGCGUGCAGGAUGACUGCCCUACGGGUUGUAAACUUCUUUUAUAAAGGAAUAAAGUGAGGCACGUGUGCCUCUUUGUAUGUACCUUAUGAAUAAGGAUCGGCUAACUCCGUGCCAGCAGCCGCGGUAAUACGGAGGAUCCGAGCGUUAUCCGGAUUUAUUGGGUUUAAAGGGAGCGUAGAUGGGUUGUUAAGUGUGUUGUGAAAGUUUGCGGCUCAACCGUAAAAUUGCAGUGGAAACUGGCAGUCUUGAGUACAGUGGAGGUAGGCGGAAUUCGUGGUGUAGCGGUGAAAUGCUUAGAUAUCACGAAGAACUCCGAUUGCGAAGGCAGCUUACUAAAGUGGAACUGACAUUGAUGCUCGAAAGUGUGGGUAUCAAACAGGAUUAGAUACCCUUGUAGUC